CUUCAGUCUGCCACUUGAUGUAGCCCUGCCUCCUCACCCACUGGAUGCCAGCUUAGCUCCUGGACUCAACCUUCAGAGCUGUGCAGUGGAAAGGGACCCAUCUGGAACAUGAACUUGGCUCGACCACAUCAGCUGGAGUCUGAUUUCUCAGCUGCUGAAUCAAUCUGUUUCCUGAUAAGGUGAUGGUCACACCAUAGGUACUCAAAGGAAGCUGUGGGCUGUUAGGGGGCUGGAUUCCUCCAGAAGCAUGUGACUUGACUACCUCACUGGAAGCACCAGGGGAAGUAGUUUAAGGGAAUGAAGAACAUCAGAGGACAGAACCCAGCAGGGCUCAGCAGAUCUUGGAAAACCAGCAGCUGUGGAGUAAGGAACAGGCCAAGUGACACGAGUAGGUUGAUGCUGACACUGUGUGAAUGUGAACAAUGGUAUUCGAGAAAGUUCCUGGAAAGCAAAUUACAGUGUGUUCAACACCCAAGUGUAAAGAACCAAAAAUCUGGUUUAGCUGGACAAAAUUUGUACUAAUUAAAAUGCCAUUUUGUUCUUUAAUUCCAACGUAGACAUUAAAAUUGGCCUUCAUAUCUUUACCAUACCAAAACCUAUGGCAGCCACCAUAAUUUAGACUAAUCUAAU
rnacentral:lncRNA from 1 species